UGCUUGUUUUGCAUUAAAAUCAAAAGUCCAAAUCAAAAUUUAUAUCUUAAACAUUUCCCAGGACCAAGUCACGUGAACAAAACUCGAUUUUAGUUCCAACAAGACAAACUUCGACCACGAAAAGUGUUUGAAAUCAAUUCGCAUGUAACAACAGUUUUAGGAGUUUUUACACUAAGAUCUUGAAGGCUUGAAUCUGAUAGUACUUCACACACAAAUGCACAAUGGUCUGCCCUUGACCCACGAUCACUCAAGCUGCAUCAGGUUUCGCACGAACCAAUUCUUUCAUGGCUUCAUUCUUGCCUUUUACUCAAUGUCUACAAAUUGUUACAAAUUAGGAAGAUCAAAUUACACGAUCCCUCGAGCUGCAUAAUUAACUAACUAUUAUUUGGCCAAACUAAUAAUAAGUAGCCUAUUUCAGUUUUCUUGGGUGCAUAAAUGAGGGCUGAGAAGCG
rnacentral:lncRNA from 1 species